rnacentral:rRNA from 1 species
UACGGAGGGGGCUAGCGUUGUUCGGAAUUACUGGGCGUAAAGCGUGCGUAGACGGUUAUUUAAGUCGGGUGUGAAAGCCCCGGGCUCAACCUGGGAAUUGCAUUCGAGACUGAAUAGCUAGGGUACGGUAGAGGGAAGCGGAAUUUCCGGUGUAGCGGUGAAAUGCGUAGAUAUCGGAAGGAACACCGGUGGCGAAAGCGGCGCGCUGGACCCCCACUGACGCUGAUGCGCCGAAAGCCAGGGGAGCAAACGGG